UUAUGCUAGAAAGAGCGCAGGGUGGAUGCCUUGGCACUAAGAGCCGAUGAAAGACGUGAUAAGCUGCGAAAAGCUUCGGGGAGGAGCAAAUAUCCAAUGAUCCGGAGAUAUCUUUUGGGAAAGCCAGCCAGAGAGGGUGAAAGCCCCGUAAGCGAAAGACGAGUCAGCAAGGCGGGAUCCAGAGUACCACGAGACACGAGAAACCUUGUGGGAAUGAGCGGGGACCACCCCGUAAGGCUAAAUACUCCUUAGUGACCGAUAGCGCAUAGUACUGUGAAGGAAAGGUGAAAAGGACCCCGGGAGGGGAGUGAAAGAGAACCUGAAACCCUGUGUUUACAAGCUGUGGAACAUCUAUAUAUGAUGAACCGCGUACUUUUUGUAGAACGGUCCGGCGAGUUACGCCAUCUGGCGAGGUUAAGUUCUUAAGGAAUGGAGCCGAAGUGAAAACAAGUCUUAACAGGGCGUUAAGUCAGAUGGAGUAGACCCGAAACCGGGUGAUCUAUCCAUGUCCAGGAUGAAGUUGCCGUAAAAGGCAAUGGAGGUCCGAACCCACAUCCGUUGAAAAGGGUGGGGAUGAGGUGUGGAUAGGGGAGAAAUUCCAAUCGAACCCGGAGAUAGCUGGUUCUCCUCGAAAUAGCUUUAGGGCUAGCCUCAUGAGAGUCUUUUGGAGGUAGAGCACUGAAUUCCCGCGGGGGCGUCAAAGCUUACCAAAGGAUAUCAAACUCCGAAUGCCAGUAAGAUGAUUCAUGGGAGUCAGACUGCACGAGAUAAGUUGGGCAGUCAAAAGGGAAAGAGCCCAGACCUGCAGCUAAGGUCCCAAAAUGUGUGUUAAGUGGAAAAGGAUGUGGGAUUUCAAAGACAACCAGGAUGUUGGCUUAGAAGCAGCCAUACAUUAAAAGAGUGCGUAAUAGCUCACUGGUCGAGAGGUCCUGCGCCGAAAAUGUCCGGGGCUGAAACACACUACCGAAGCUCAGGAAUUAACGUAGUUAAUUGGUAGAGGAGCAUUCUUAAAGGGAAGAAGCAGUACCGGAAGGAGCUGUGGACUUUUAAGAAGAGAGAAUGCCGGAAUGAGUAGCGAGAGGAAGGUGAGAAUCCUUCCGGCCGAAUACCCAAGGUUUCCAGAGUAAAGCUGAUCUGCUCUGGGUAAGUCGGGGCCUAAGGUGAGGUCGAAAGACGUAGCCGAUGGACAACAGGUUGAAAUUCCUGUACUGCAGUAUAACAGAACUGUGGGGACGCAGAGGGAGAGCACUAGCGGGAAUGGAAUCCCGCGGCAAGCGAGGUAGGAGUCGCGCUGGCAAAUCCGCGUGACAAUCCGAAGACGUGAUGCAUACCGAACUGAAGUAGGGAAAUGUGUGAGCCAGCUGCCAAGAAAAGCCGCUAUUGUUUGUACUGUACCCGUACCGUAAACCGACACAGGUAGGUGAGGAGAGAAUCCUAAGGCCGACGGGAGAAGCAUUGUUAAGGAACUCGGCAAAAUGACUCCGUAACUUCGGGAGAAGGAGUGCCAGUGAGAGCUGGCCGCAGAGAAUUGGCCCAAGCAACUGUUUAGCAAAAACACAGGUCUAUGCAAAACCGUAAGGUGAAGUAUAUGGGCUGACGCCUGCCCGGUGCUGGAAGGUUAAGGGGAGAGGUUAGCGCAAGCGAAGCUUUGAACUUAAGCCCCAGUAAACGGCGGCCGUAACUAUAACGGUCCUAAGGUAGCGAAAUUCCUUGUCGGGUAAGUUCCGACCCGCACGAAAGGCGUAAUGAUUUGGGCACUGUCUCAACAAUGCACCCGGUGAAAUUGAAAUACCAGUGAAGAUGCUGGUUACCUGCGCCAGGACGGAAAGACCCCAUGGAGCUUUACUCCAGCUUGAUACUGGGAUUCGAUAUUGUAUGUACAGGAUAGGUGGGAGGCGAAGAAGCAUUGACGCCAGUUGAUGCGGAGCCGCUGUUGGGAUACCACCCUUGCAGUAUUGGAUUUCUAACCAGCAGCCGUGACCCGGCUGGGGGACAAUGUCAGGUGGGGAGUUUGACUGGGGCGGUCGCCUCCGAAAGGGUAUCGGAGGCGCUCAAAGGUUCCCUCAGAAUGGUUGGAAACCAUUCGAAGAGUGCAAAGGCAGAAGGGAGCUUGACUGCGACACCGACGGGUGGAGCAGGUACGAAAGUAGGACUUAGUGAUCCGGUGGUAUAAAGUGGGAUUGCCAUCGCUCAACGGAUAAAAGCUACCCUGGGGAUAACAGGCUUAUCACUCCCAAGAGUUCACAUCGACGGAGUGGUUUGGCACCUCGAUGUCGGCUC
rnacentral:rRNA from 1 species